CGGCGGCCAGCGGAAACGAGAUCGACGCGUGGCCCGUGCUGGGGCCGCUCAUCGACGACCCGCUCACCGCAGAGGGCGCUGCGCUCAUCAUGCGCGAGACUCGGCACGCCAUUGAGGAGUUGGUGAAGAGCUCGCAACUGGGGGCGAAGCAGGCGUCACACAUCCUCCUGGGAAUCAGGAAGCUGCUGGGAGCAGAGCUGCAGCUUUGAUCACAGUUCAACUCUGUUCGCAGCAGCUGGAUCAACCCUCGUUCUCAACUCAUUCUCAUGUUUCAUUUAUUACCUCUCAGUUCAUAUCUGUGUCAAUGAAAAAUUAAAUUAAAAUCUCA